GACCUUGUAGCAUAAUGAUAGUGCGUCACUUCUGAAUGAGUAAACCAUCGAGCUCUGCUCUUGUGACGAUCUCAGUUCAAUUCUGGGCAAGGUCA